rnacentral:rRNA from 1 species
CAGUCGCCGCGGUAAGACAGAGGUCCCGAGCGUUGUUCGGAUUCAUUGGGCGUAAAGGGUGUGUAGGAGGUCGGGUAAGUCAGGUGUGAAAUCUCAGAGCUUAACUCUGAAACUGCGCUUGAUACUGCUCGGCUAGAGGAUCGGAGGGGGUAACGGAAUUUAUGGUGUAGCAGUGAAAUGCGUAGAUAUCAUAAGGAACACCGGUGGCGAAGGCGGUUACCUAGAGGAUUCCUGACUCUGAAACACGAAAGCCAGGGGAGCAAACGGGAUUAGAUACCCCCGUAGUCCCUGUCUCUUAUAC